AAAAACAUUUCUUCCUAGAUUAGGAGGUAAGGCCUGCUCACUGAAAAUUUAAAGAGCCGCAGUAUCCUAACUGUGCUAAGGUAGCAUAAUCAUUAGUCUUUUAAUUGAAGACUGGUAUGAAUGGCUUAACGAGAGAUUGACUUUUUUUAUUAUACAAAUUUAAUUUAAUUUUUUAGUGAAAAAGCUAAAAUUUUUCAGAAAGACGAGAAGACCCUAUAGAGUUUUAUGUUUUUUUAUAUUUUUUAUUAUUAGAUUUUUAAAGAAUUAGUAUAAUUAAACAUUUUGUUGGGGCGACAUUAAGAUAAAAAAAACUCUUAUUUUUUAAAAUUUUUUUAAAAAUGUAAAUUGAUCCUUUAAAAAAGAUUAUAAGAAAAAAUUACCUUAGGGAUAACAGCGUAAUCUUUUUUGAGAGUUCUAAUCGACAAAAAGGUUUGCGACCYCGAUGUUGGACUAAAAUUUAGACAAGGUGCAGCCGCUUUGUUUUUAGGUCUGUUCGACCUAUAAAA
rnacentral:rRNA from 1 species